UUUCCAGGCCCUUUACGGGCGCAGCAGGCGUGAAAACUUUACAAUGCGGGAAACCGUGAUAAGGGGACACCGAGUGCCAGCAUCAUAUGCUGGCUGUCCAGAUGUGUAAAAUACAUCUGUUAGCAAGGGCCGGGCAAGACCGGUGCCAGCCGYCGCGGUAACACCGGCGGCCCGAGUGGUGAUCGUGAUUAUUGGGUCUAAAGGGUCCGUAGCCGGUUUGGUCAGUCCUCCGGGAAAUCUGAUGGCUCAACCAUUAGGCUUUCGGGGGAUACUGCCAGGCUUGGAACCGGGAGAGGUAAGAGGUACUACAGGGGUAGGAGUGAAAUCUUGUAAUCCCUGUGAGACCACCUGUGGCGAAGGCGUCUUACCAGAACGGGUUCGACGGUGAGGGACGAAAGCUGGGGGCACGAACCGGAUUAGAUACCCGGGUAGUCCCAGCCGUAAACGAUGCUCGCUAGGUGUCAGGCAUGGCGCGACCGUGUCUGGUGCCGCAGGGAAGCCGUGAAGCGAGCCACCUGGGAAGUACGGCCGCAAGGCUGAAACUUAAAGGAAUUUGGGCGGGGGAG
rnacentral:rRNA from 1 species